GCUGGUGUAGCUCAGUUGGUAGAGCUACUGCCUUGUAAGCAGUAGGUCGGCGGUUCAAGUCCGUUCACCAGCUCCA
rnacentral:tRNA from 12 species